rnacentral:rRNA from 1 species
UUUGAAAUCUGGCUUCGGCCCGAGUUGUAAUUUGCAGAGGAAGCUUUAGGCGCGGCACCAACUGAGUCCCCUGGAACGGGGCGCCACAGAGGGUGAGAGCCCCGUAUAGUUGGACGCCUAGCCUGUGUAAAGCUCCUUCGACGAGUCGAGUAGUUUGGGAAUGCUGCUCAAAAUGGGAGGUAAAUUUCUUCUAAAGCUAAAUACCGGCCAGAGACCGAUAGCGCACAAGUAGAGUGAUCGAAAGAUGAAAAGCACUUUGAAAAGAGGGUUAAAUAGCACGUGAAAUUGUUGAAAGGGAAGCGCUUGUGACCAGACUUGCGCCCGGCUGAUCAUCCGGUGUUCUCACCGGUGCACUCUGCCGGGCUCAGGCCAGCAUCGGUUCUCGCGGGGGGAUAAAGGUCCUGGGAACGUAGCUCCUCCGGGAGUGUUAUAGCCCAGGGCGUCAUGCCCUCGCGGGGACCGAGGUUCGCGCAUCUGCAAGGAUGCUGGCGUAAUGGUCAUCAGCGACCCGU